GAUGAAGAACGCAGCGAAAUGCGAUAAUUAAUGUGAAUUGUAGAAUUCCGUGAAUCAUCGAGCCUUUGAACGCACAUUGCGCCUCAUGGCAUUCCGUGAGGCAUGCCCAUCUCAGCGUUAGAAAAUAUUCUCAAAUUUUAGUUUUGUGCUAAAAUUUGGAUCAUGUCAAAGAAGCUAUUACUAUUAUUGUGAUCGCUCUUUGGAAAUUGAUAGGUCUUUGAGUUGCUACUCAUAGAACGUGAUGAAUCUUUCUUCGUUCUAUUGUAAUUCAUUCUGGUAGUCCUAAAACUUGUAUGCCUGUGGCAUAUCUUGUAAUUUGACCUGAGAUUGGGUAGGGAUACCCGCUGAACUUAAGCAUAUCUAUAAGCGGAGGA
rnacentral:misc_RNA from 1 species